rnacentral:rRNA from 11 species
CUAUACAACCUAAAUACCCUAAAGGCAAUAGAUCCCGACCAAUCUUGGAAGCUAAGCAGGGUCAGACCUGGUUAGUACUUGGAUGGGAGACAGUCAACAAAAGGGUCCUUUUGGCUGGGGAAUUCUGGAAGUGGCAGU